AAAGAAUAAUGUUUUUGUAAUUUUCUUUGAUCAAUUAUCAAAAAUCAAGAAAAAUAUUAUUUCCCUUAAUUGUAAUGAUCAAUUUGAUAACAGUUUGAAAAGAGUGAUGGGAUCUUCUUUGGAUUAAAACCUAAAGUGUAAAUAAGCCAACCAAAGUGGUUCUACAAUUCUUCAUGUGUCUUUGUUAGAGUUUCUGCAUUUGGAAUUUGUAAUUAUGACGUCUAAGAAAAGUAUUAUUCAACAGUUUUAUGGGAAUACAAGCAGCCAAAUAUGAAUCCUAAAAGUAUUCGUUUAUAAACAUUUUAAGAGAUCAAAUAUAGAAAUACAAGUUGUUCCAAAAUGUUUGUUUACUCUUUUUUUUUUUUUGUCGACAGUGCGUUUGUUUACUCUUUAAUAUCCCCCCUCCCCCAUUCAAAAUGUAAGAUGUUUAUUUUUAAUUUACAUUUUAAUGAGACUUUUUAAGUAAUUUUUUUUAAGUUUGUACACUUAUCUAUAACAUCAUAUAUUUUAGAAUAGAGGGUACAAAAUAAUGGCUGAUCAAGAUAUUUUUUUUUUUCAUUUGAAGUCAUAGUAUCUUUUAUAUAAACUAUAUUUUUUAUUUAUAUAAUAAAUAUUAUUGUUAACUAACAUUUUAAAACGUUUAUUACAUUUUAUAUAUUAAACUAUUUUACACUAUUUUGGAUCUUAAAUAUGUUUUCACUUUUUAUAAAUAUGUAUUAUUAAUUUUAUUAAAAACAAAAAUGUUCAACAGAAUCACAAAAUCGAAAAUAUUUAUGUGAAUAAUUGUUUUCCUACUAGUUACUUAUUAAGCAAAAUAAUACUAUUUUAUUUUAUAUUUUAACAAGAAAAACUAGUAAUAUUAUGAUUACAAUAAGCUUCAUGAUUAUAAAGAAAGAAAUCCAAAAAG
rnacentral:lncRNA from 1 species